AGAGUUUGAUCCUGGCUCAGAACGAACGCUGGCGGCGUGCCUAAACUUAUGCAAGUCGAAACGGAGCAGCAAAUGCUCUAGUGGCGAACGGGUGAGUAACACGUGGGUAACCUACCUCGGGGAUGUGGGAUAACAGCUCGAAAGGGCUGCUAAUACCACGUAAGAUCCUUCGGUCUCCUGGCUGGAGGAUGAUAGGUGGCGCAAGCUGCCGACCUGGGAUGGACCCGCGCUCUAUUAGCUUGUUGGUGAGGUAACGGCUCACCAAGGCAACGAUGGAUAGCCGGACUGAGAGGUUGACCGGCCACACUGGGACUGAGACAAGGUCCAGACUCCUACGGGAGGCAGCAGUGRGGAAUAUUGGGCAAUGGGCGCAAGCCUGACCCAGCAACGCCGCGUGAGGGAAGAAGGCUUUCGGGUUGUAAACCUCUGUCCUUGGGUGACGAAACAAAUGACGGUAGCCAAGGAGGAAGCACCGGCUAACUCCGUGCCAGCCGCCGCGGUAAUA
rnacentral:rRNA from 1 species